rnacentral:ncRNA from 2 species
CAAAGUGCUUACAGUGCA